UAUUUAUUUUUAUUAUUAGUCUCUAAUAUGAGUGAGGCUACUAUGCUAUCGGAAGUCGGUGCUUCCAGCUCGUUUUUGAUGUUGCGACUUUCGAAUCGUCGAUCGGCUCUGUUAAACUUGAUCUAGAGUAUUUUGAGUACCUAGAAAAUAAAUUUUAUUAUUUUUCGAUAUCAUUUGCCUAGUGAUCGAAUGGGCGCAAAAUCAACAAAUUUCAAUGGCCGUAGUGAGCCGUUUGCAAGUUUAACGGUGUAGAAAUAUCCAAAUCACGUGAAAUUUUGAUAGAAAAUUCUUUAUA
rnacentral:lncRNA from 1 species